AUUUUACAGCUCAUUAUUAUCACUUAAAGGCCAGCAACAAUUCAUUGGGGACAUUGGAAUCAUAUAUUUAUGAACUAAAUGACUUUUGUAGACAGUUAAAGCAAAUAUCAGAGAAAGACUCAGAGUCAUUAUUAGGUGUGUUUCAUGGAAUGUUAUCAAUAAUAGAAAGAUAAAUUAAAACCUCAAAUCAAUAACAAUAACUUUCUGUAUAUGAGACAGUUUGAGAAUGUAAACUAAACUUGAUGUUCUUAAAAUAUUGAGGAAUGUGUUAAUUGAGUUACUACUUCUAAGAUUUUAAU